GAAGCAAAUUGUGAUGCAAGUUGUUCUCAUCUAGUUCUCUACUACUCCACAACCAGAGUAAUCACGUUGUUAGACUCCUAUGGCUGCAGCAGCUUCACUCUCUUUCUCUUUGGAUCCACACCGCCAUCUCUCUUCCAAUCCCCACUUCACUCCCUCAACCUCACUUCUAAUCCCCAAACACUCUUUUAGAAUCUUCCAUAACUCCAAUCGUUACACUCUCAAAUCUUCUUCUUCUUCUUCUUCUCAUUCUUCUACAGCUACUUCUCCAAGCCCACCAUCAGUACCCAGCUCUUCAUUUCUCGAAGCCCCACUCAGAACCGGCCGGUUUCUCAGCAAUGAAGACCUCGAGAAGCUCAAGUCGCUCGAGAAUUUCAGGUACUAUCAGGAACUGGAGUCCGGGUCGAUGUGGGUUCGGGUCAUGAGGUCGGAGGAGAUGGACAUCACUGUUGGGCUUUUGGCCGAGUCGUUUGCCGAGUCGAUGCUUCUGCCUUCUGGUUAUGUGGCUCUCUUGGGCUUCUUGGUCAAGCAGUACUUGAUGGAACGAAGGGAGUUGAUGCCCCACACCGCCACGCUUAUUGGGUUUUACAGAAGCAACAAGGAUGAGGCUAAAGAUGAGAGCUUUGGGGGUAAAGGUGAGAGCUUUGAGGAUAAAGGUGAGAGCUUUGAGGAGAAAGAUGGAGGCUUUGGAGGAGAAGAUGAAGAUGGGGUUUUGGCGGGGACUGUGGAGGUUUGCUUUGACAAGAAGGGUGCCAAUGCUUCUACUCCUACGCCAACUCCGCCCAAGAAUUCGCCGUAUAUAAGCAACAUGGCUGUGAAGAAGUCGCUUCGGAGGAGGGGCAUUGGCUGGCAUCUUUUGAAGGCAAGUGAGGAAUUGAUUUCUCAGAUGAGUUCUUCAAGAGAGGCGUACUUGCAUUGCAGAAUGAUCGAUGCAGCUCCAUUCAACAUGUAUACAAAAGCAGGUUACAACAUUGUAAAGACAGAUAGCAUUUUGAUACUACUGACAUUGCAGAGGCGGAAACACUUAAUGUACAAGAAACUUCCAGUCUUGACCAGCUUUUCAGAAUCAGAAACUUUGUGUUCUGAAGAGGAUGAAAAUCACUAUUGAAUAUGUGAAAUACGUAAUGUGUCGUUUUUAGGAUAGUUGGUCACAGACCUUUGAGGGGGUGAAGAUUAUCGAGCUGAUUGAAGUUUGGCUAGAGGCUGCUUGACCCUAUGUUCCAGCAAGUUGCGCUUGCUUUGUGUACACGUAUGGUAGAGACUUGUUUUGUUGCAGGAUCAUAGGUCCACAAGUUUUGAAGAUUCAAGAACUCUUUUAUUAGAUGAAGUAAAGGAUCUUCAUUAUGUCUGUACAGUCUCCACCCUGCAAUUAGUACGUGUGUACUUUAGGCGGCCACUCACAAGCCUUUUGCAUUUGUAAUGAUAAUCAACUGCAGUUCUUUUACACAUUCAGCCAUGGAGGGUCUUUCACUGCUGUCAGGACGCACACAUCGUGAUGCCAGGUUUGCAAACAUGACUAUAGAUUCCAUGGUGUACGAACUUCGACCCAGCUCAGGAUCUAUGACCUUACGCAGCUUCUUCCGAUCAUUUAAUAUGUGCUUUACCUGAGAUAUGAAUUAUGGUCAUAUCUCAUUGCGAGUGUCGCUUAACUAGUACAAGCAAGAAUGGGAAAUUUAUCCUACCUGUAGUACAAGAUUUUGAUCAUUUGGUCCUUGGUUUAGGUCCAGGGCUUGACGUCCAGUCAGAAGUUCAAGAAGAACCACUCCAAAUGCAUAAACAUCACUCUGUAAAGUGAGUUUUCCUGUCUAUUGCCAAAUGCACCUCUUGUCAUAUAAGUGUAAAGUUCUUUAAGAGAGAUGAAAAUGUUACACAAAUAUUUCAUUUUAUCAUGUGUUGUUUGAGUUAGGAUGAUUUUAUCAUGUUAUACAAAUAUUUCAUUUUAUAA